CGGGGCCGCAGCCCGUGCCGGAAGGAGCCUGGGACUGCAGCUGGUGGUGGCUAUUUAUAUACCCGGGCUGGAGCAGGGGGAGCCGGACUGCGCCUCUCAGCGCGAGCGUGGGCAGGGAGAGGCCGCGGCGCGCAGCGCAGCGCCGGGCUUCCAUGUCUCCUUGAGGCGUCGGCGUCGCUUGGCGGUGCAGGGGCUGGGUUUGCGGGUGACCUGCAAAGGGGCGUUUCCUUCCUGCCAUGGAUGCAGCCGGGGAUUGAAGGUGCCCGCCCAGCCCGAGGCGCCCCGGGUGGCGGCGGCGGCCGCGCUAGCUCCGAGGAUCGUGCCCGUAGAGACGCCGCCAUGGCCACGGCGGUGUCCUCCACCCCGGGAGGCAGCGGGCGAGCUCUCGGUCGCUCGGCCGCGUUCUCCCCGCUCAGCCCGACCCGGCUCAGCCGACUGCAGGAGAAGGAGGAGCUGCAGCAGCUCAAUGACCGCCUGGCCGCCUACAUCGACCGGGUGCGGGCUCUGGAGGCCGAUAAGUCCACGCUGCAGCAGCGGCUGGCGGAGCAGGAGGAAGGGAGCAGCCGGGAGCUGGGCAACCUGCGGCUCCGCUACGAGACCGAGCUGGCCGAUGCCCGCAAGGCGCUGGACUGCAUCGCUAUCGAGCGGGCUACGCUGCAGGUGGAGCUGGGCAAGCUCAGCGAGGAGCACCGGCAGCUGCACGCCAGGAAUUCUAAAAAAGAAGCUGACUUAAACCUGGCACAGGCUCGUAUAAGAGACCUUGAUGCUCAGCUGAACUCCAAGGAAGCUGACUUAGCAACCGCUUUGAGUGGAAAAAGAAGUUUGGAGGGCAACCUUCAAGAGUUAAAGGAUCAAAUAGUCACUCUUAAGUUGGCAUUGGAAGAUACCAAAAAGCAUCUCCAUGGAGAAAUGUUGAGGAGAGUGGACCUGGAAAACCAAAUGAAAACUCUACAAGAACAAAUGACAUUCCAGAAACGCCUUCAUGAAGAUGAGCUCAAGGAAACAAAAAGAUUCCAUGAGAGCAGGAUAGCGGAAAUAGAAUCUGGCCGUCAGAGGGAAUUUGAGAGCAAACUUUCAGAUGCUCUGCAAGGACUCAGAAAGGAGCACGAAGAACAAAUUCAAGAAUACAAAGAUGACUUGGAGCGCACAUUCAGUGCCAAAAUGGAGAAUGCCCAACUUUCUGCCGCAAAAAAUAGCGACUUUGCCAAUGCUGCUCGGGAGGAGCUGAUGGAAACAAAGAUGAGAGUUGACACUUUGACAUCCCAGCUUAAUCAUUAUCAAACUCAGAACUCUGUAUUGGAGAACAGAAUAAGAGAAUUGCAGGAGACCCUGGAUUAUGACCGUGAGAUGCAUCGAAGGCAUAUGGCUGAAAAAGAUAAAGAAAUGGUACAAACGCGGCGGCAGAUGCAAGCACAGUUGGAAGAAUAUGAGCAUCUACUAGAUGUGAAACUGGCUCUAGAUCUGGAAAUAAAUGCCUACAGAAAGAUGCUAGAAGGAGAAGAACAGAGGCUAAAAUUGUCAUCUAGUCCAUCUUCCCAAAGUGUUGCAACCCAGGCAACAACCAGCCAUGGGCAUCGCUUCCUGCAUGGAAAAAAGAGAAAACUGAAAGAAUCCAAAAAGGGAGAGCACAGUGUCAGCUUUAAGAUUGUUCAGCAUGCAUCAUGUUCAGGAAAUGUGUCCAUAGAAGAAAUUGACACAGAAGGGAAUUUUGUCAAACUUAAAAACAACUCUGAUGAGGAUCAAUCGCUAAAUGGCUGGGUACUAAGACGACGACUUGGAAGUUUGUCUGAAAUAAUAUACAAAUUCCCUGCUCGGUUUAUCCUUCAGGCAGGCCAGGUAGUUACGAUCUGGGGUGCUGAUGCUGGUGUAAACCAGAGUCCUAGUGAUCUGGUCUGGAAAUCGCAGCGGUCUUGGGGAACUGGGGAUAACAUUGGUGUUACACUCAUCAAUGCCGAUGGAGAGGAGACUGCAGAACGGAAGAUCAUACAUGUAUCCAGAGGAGAAGGUGGUGAACUGGAAGAUGAGUUUGAUGAAGAAGAAAUAACAGGGAGCGAAAUGGAGUUUCAUCGUCGGACCAAAAGAAGAAAAAAGAAAUGUUGUUUGGUGUCAUGAUUGUGUUUCCUGUGAGCAUCACAAAAUAGAACAAAGAAUAAACAAUGUGGGAAUUAAUUAGAAGUGUCUCCAGCAAAAUGAAGAUCCUAGCUGUUCUGUCAUGUAACUAGACCAAGGUAGUGACUACCUAAAACCACUCCUUAAACCAAAGUGACCCUUCAGACUGCAUGAAUUUUCAGCAGCUUCUGGAACAUGUGAAUCUUGGAAUUUUUUUCCCCUAUCAGACAUGUUUGGAGAAAGGAAGUUUCACAUUCUGGGGGAUGUUAUUUGUUAUUGGGCCCUGCCUUCAGUGAAACUAGAUCAAAGUGUACAUUUCCUUUUUCUAAGUCACUUCCAUUUGUCAUGGAAAGAAUUUGUGAUUAUUCACGCACAACUACUUGCCCUAAAGUUUACAAUAACCUCCUGUUAGGCAGGUCUCAUCCUAGCCAAGGAUGGUAACUGCUCACAAAUGUAAUGGCUUCAGCUUUCUAAACUCCUGAUUUAUUCAAAAUAUUUUUCUCAAAAGCAGACUUGGAAGAAAAACUGUUUUCAAGCCUGACUGAAAUUUAGGUGGACCAAAUACUGCCUUGACUUAUACCUUGUGCAACUCCACUGAAUUGAACGUCAGAGCAAAUUGUUAUCCUUGUUUCAAACACCCCA